UUCCCCUAGUAACUGCGAGUGAAGCGGGAAAAGCUCAAAUUUAAAAUCUGGUAGUCUUUGGCUGUCCGAGUUGUAAUCUAGAGAAGCACUAUCCGUGCUGGACCAUGUGUAAGUCUCCUGGAAUGGGGCGUCAUAGAGGGUGAGAAUCCCGUCUUCAACAUGGACUACCAGUGCAUUGUGAUAUGCUCUCAACGAGUCGAGUUGUUUGGGAAUGCAGCUCUAAAUGGGUGGUAAAUUCCAUCUAAAGCUAAAUAUUGGCGAGAGACCGAUAGCGAACAAGUACCGUGAGGGAAAGAUGAAAAGAACUUUGGAAAGAGAGUUAAACAGUACGUGAAAUUGUUGAAAGGGAAACGCUUAAAGUCAGUCACAUUGGUCAGGGAUCAACCUUGCUUUUGCUUGGUGUAUUUUCUGAUUAAUGGGUCAGCAUCAAUUUUGAUCAGUGGAAAAAGGCUGAGGGAAUGUGGCAUCUUUUGAUGUGUUAUAGCUCUCUGUCAUAUACAUUGGUUGGGAUUGAGGAACUCAGCAUGCCGCAAGGCCGGGUUUUAACCACGUUCGUGCUUAGGAUGCUGGCAUAAUGGCUUUAAUCGACCCGUCUUGAAACACGGACCAAGGAGUCUAACAUGCCUGCAAGUGUUUGGGUGGUAAACCCAUGCGCGUAAUGAAAGUGAAAGUUGGGAUCUCUGUCANGAGAGCACCGACGCCCAGACCAGACCUUCUGUGACGGAUCUGCGGUUGAG
rnacentral:rRNA from 1 species